rnacentral:rRNA from 1 species
UACGUAGGGGGCAAGCGUUGUCCGGAUUUAUUGGGCGUAAAGAGCGUGUAGGCGGCCUUGCAAGUCCGUUGUGAAAACUCGAGGCUCAACCUCGAGACGCCGGUGGAAACUGCAAAGCUAGAGUCCGGAAGAGGAGAGUGGAAUUCCUGGUGUAGCGGUGAAAUGCGCAGAUAUCAGGAGGAACACCCGUGGCGAAAGCGGCUCUCUGGGACGGUACUGACGCUGAGGCGCGAAAGCGUGGGGAGCGAACAGG